GUAGCCAUCAGCAGUACACUGGGAGAUAUUGCCUCGGUCAGUCAGAAGGGGCCGGGCAGUCAGUUAUUGCUCCACUCCAUUAAUGCUACACCCAUAGCCAGGAGCGUGACCCUGGAGAGUUCUAUAAACUGUCUGUCCUUCUCCACCGCCCCCGAGGGUCAGUCUGUCAACAUCCUGGCCGGCGGCAUGGACAACGGAAUCAUCAGACUCUGGAGCAGUAUGGACUUGACAGUGCUUAGAGAUCUGCAGACUGAGAAUCUCAUGCACAAACCUGUGAUCAGUUUGACCUUCACCAACGAUUCUUCUCGCCUCUACAUGACUUCUUCUGAUGGAACAAUUACAGUAUGGGAGUCGCCUCCCUUUGGUCGGAUCAGACCAAACAACCUGUUACUACACAUAUAAAGAGACAAGGAAACCUCCUCCUACACAUAUAAAGAGCUCAGACAACCUUCUUCAUAUCUUGAGUCAUAAACAGUCAUGGCAUCUCUCCAGCUAGAGGGUAUUUCUUGGUUAUGCAACACAUCUCAGAUAAUUUUCAGUAAAAUUACCUGUAGUGAAAUAAUCCCUUUUUGUUCAGCAAUAUCUACAUUUUACUUCACUUUAUCAUUUGAAUUGUGAGAAAUUGUACAUAGUUCAGUAAAAGCACAUUGUAGGCAGCUUUAUGUAUACAGACUGAUUCUGAGUAUUUAACAGUUCAAUGGCAACUUUUUUAUGUAUAUCAAUAUUUUAACAAGAAUCUAUUGAAAAGCAUCGUUAAGUUAUCUAUUUUUUGUUUAUGAAUACUUUUCAAUCAUCUUUGUUGGAGGGGGGGGGGGGCAAAUGUUGUGGAUUUUGUGGAUAACCCUUAUAUAACCAAAUGUACAUCCCCACAAAAAAUUACCAUGUAAAUAUAUUUAUUCACUGAAUUUUGGGUGUAUAUGAGUUAUUCACAAAAUUGUGUCCCCAUGAAUCAACUAAAUUUUGCUUACCCAUGAAGAUUUGCCCCCUGAAUUAAAGUGAUUACACAAAAAUGUUAUUAUAUACAUGUAUGUACAGAUAAUCUAUUCAUUUUAUACAAUCACUUUUACCAAAGUCUCAUUUUUUUAUAAAUUGACCAAUAUUUGCUCAAUGUACUUUCUUGACCAUUCCAUAAGCGUGUAUACAGGUAUAUACCGGUAUUAUCCAUCCUUGUGCCAUUUUAUAUGAAUAUUUGACAUUGAUUUUUGAGUGUGUGGAUUUAUACUGUAGUGAGUUCAGACUAAGCUUAAAGCUUUGGGUGUGAGAUAGUUCCACAACAACAACAAUUUAAUUGUUAAUAGCAAACUGUUCUCUUAUUUUUGUUUUCUAAAACAAUAUGCACUUGAAGAAAUUUUGUAAAUUUUUUUUUGGAUUCAUUACGUUUUUUAAUUU